rnacentral:rRNA from 1 species
GGCUCAGGACGAACGCUGGCGGCGUGCUUAACACAUGCAAGUCGAGCGGAAAGGCCCUUCGGGGUACUCGAGCGGCGAACGGGUGAGUAACACGUGAGCAACCUGCCCUAGGCUUUGGGAUAACCCCGGGAAACCGGGGCUAAUACCGAAUAUGACUUCUGGUCGCAUGACCGGUGGUGGAAAGUUUUUCGGCCUGGGAUGGGCUCGCGGCCUAUCAGCUUGUUGGUGGGGUGAUGGCCUACCAAGGCGACGACGGGUAGCCGGCCUGAGAGGGCGACCGGCCACACUGGGACUGAGACACGGCCCAGACUCCUACGGGAGGCAGCAGUGGGGAAUAUUGCACAAUGGGCGGAAGCCUGAUGCAGCGACGCCGCGUGAGGGAUGACGGCCUUCGGGUUGUAAACCUCUUUCAGCAGGGACGAAGCGUAAGUGACGGUACCUGCAGAAGAAGCGCCGGCCAACUACGUGCCAGCAGCCGCGGUAAGACGUAGGGCGCGAGCGUUGUCCGGAUUUAUUGGGCGUAAAGAGCUCGUAGGCGGCUUGUCGCGUCGACUGUGAAAACCCGCAGCUCAACUGCGGGCCUGCAGUCGAUACGGGCAGGCUAGAGUUCGGUAGGGGAGACUGGAAUUCCUGGUGUAGCGGUGAAAUGCGCAGAUAUCAGGAGGAACACCGGUGGCGAAGGCGGGUCUCUGGGCCGAUACUGACGCUGAGAGCGAAA